AACUGAAGAGUUUGAUCAUGGCUCAGAUUGAACGCUGGCGGCAGGCUUAACACAUGCAAGUCGAGCGGGGGAAGGUAGCUUGCUACUGGACCUAGCGGCGGACGGGUGAGUAAUGCUUAGGAAUCUGCCUAUUAGUGGGGGACAACAUCUCGAAAGGGAUGCUAAUACCGCAUACGUCCUACGGGAGAAAGCAGGGGAUCUUCGGACCUUGCGCUAAUAGAUGAGCCUAAGUCGGAUUAGCUAGUUGGUGGGGUAAAGGCCUACCAAGGCGACGAUCUGUAGCGGGUCUGAGAGGAUGAUCCGCCACACUGGGACUGAGACACGGCCCAGACUCCUACGGGAGGCAGCAGUGGGGAAUAUUGGACAAUGGGGGGAACCCUGAUCCAGCCAUGCCGCGUGUGUGAAGAAGGCCUUAUGGUUGUAAAGCACUUUAAGCGAGGAGGAGGCUACUUUAGUUAAUACCUAGAGAUAGUGGACGUUACUCGCAGAAUAAGCACCGGCUAACUCUGUGCCAGCAGCCGCGGUAAUACAGAGGGUGCGAGCGUUGAUCGGAUUUACUGGGCGUAAAGCGUGCGUAGGCGGCUUAUUAAGUCGGAUGUGAAAUCCCCGAGCUUAACUUGGGAAUUGCAUUCGAUACUGGUGAGCUAGAGUAUGGGAGAGGAUGGUAGAAUUCCAGGUGUAGCGGUGAAAUGCGUAGAGAUCUGGAGGAAUACCGAUGGCGAAGGCAGCCAUCUGGCCUAAUACUGACGCUGAGGUACGAAAGCAUGGGGAGCAAACAGGAUUAGAUACCCUGGUAGUCCAUGCCGUAAACGAUGUCUACUAGCCGUUGGGGCCUUUGAGGCUUUAGUGGCGCAGCUAACGCGAUAAGUAGACCGCCUUGGGAGUACGGUCGCAAGACUAAAACUCAAAUGAAUUGACGGGGGCCCGCACAAGCGGUGGAGCAUGUGGUUUAAUUCGAUGCAACGCGAAGAACCUUACCUGGCCUUGACAUACU
rnacentral:rRNA from 1 species